rnacentral:lncRNA from 1 species
CAAUGCGACUACUAAAUGUGCAUUUUACAGUAGAAACAGAUCAUGAGCAACUAAAUUCUCACAACACAUCAUUUUCUUGCGUCUGAAGAAAUCUGAUGUUUCUAUUUGAAGAGAGAAAUUUGUUUCAGGCGUCCCUUGACGAAUACUCUUUUUGUAUUUAAAGAUUUUUAUAAAACCAGGCACUAAGUUUAAUCUACUGCGAUUUUUUUUAGAUAUUCAAAUCAUAAAUGUUAUAUAUUAUUCCAUUGUGAUCAGAGUGACAUUAGAAACUAAACCAAAAGCUAACAAAAAGCAAAUGAUGCCACACAAAACAAUGUUAAAAUAAAAGAGACUAAAGAUGAGCAUGUGAAUCUGCCAAAUCUUCUACCUUUACUCGUCUUUUAUAGCCAAAUUCCAAAAUAUGAGCAUUUUUCCUGUUAUUUUUUAGAUCGCCUUUAUGUUAUUCUUUCCCAGCUUAAAACAUCACCAAGCGUUCUCAAAAUCAUGAUCCCAAGGUCCUCAAACAGUAAUAACAAUGCUUCAAAACCAUUUAAAGAUUCUAGGUGGUGAUAGCGUAGACGUGGCUCGUGCAUCUAAACAUACGCAGAACUUGACCCAAUUUAGUGUCACAUGAUAGCAUGUAUCAAACUUUAUUGCAGUAUAACACUUUAAGUAGGUGAUGUUGGACCUAAAUUACUAAAGCCCAAUUGGCUAAAAUAGUAAAAGGUAAGUGUGAAGAGAAAAUGAAACAUUCACAUCGGUGGGAACAAGAGAAAAUGAGCUGUUUAUAUAUGGUCACUUGAUAUCAUGUGUUAAACAGCUUGGAGAGAGAGAAAGGCUCCCCACGCGCGCGCCGCCGCCGCCGUCCGGCCGGCCCGGCCCGGCGUGGGCGUGGGCGUGGACGUUUAUUAUAUAAAAAAGGGUUUGCUCUCUCCUUAGAGAGAUACGUCAGAUUCCACAUAGGAAAACCGUUUCAUGGCGUUGCGACACGUGUCCAGACAGACAAAGCGCUGCGUUUCAUUUAAUCGAAGGUGUAAUGGAUUUGGGCUUCAAUUUGUAUACAUGUUUUAUGUUCGGAAUGGACCCAACCAAAUAAAAAGCAACUCAAUAUGUAAUGAAACGCAACGUUUUUGAUUUAGGGAUUACCCCGUUCUCCGUCUCAGCCAUACGAGAGCUAAACUCGAUCUAUGGUUUCGAAAGAGUUCUUUCAUCUUCUUCUUAAAAAUCUGAGGCAAUCAGUUACAGGUUCAUCCUCUUAAAGUCGUUGCUGAAAUCCAUCACCCACAAUCUCUCUUCAAUGCGAUCAUUAAUCCUGGAAGGCGGUGAAAUCUUAUUAUAUAAAAAAGGGUUUGCUCUCUCUUUAGAGAGACACAUCAGAUUCCACCUAGGAAAGUCUUUUCAUGGCGUUGCGACACGUGUCCAGACGGGCAAAGCACUGCGUUUCAUUUAAUCGAAGGUAUAAUGGAUUUGGGCUUCAAUUUGUAUAUAAGUUUUAUGCUAUGAGAACGAUCUCCUUAUUCGUUUUCACAAACCAUUAAUCUUAUUUUGAGUAGAAUAGCUAACGAUACAAUCUUCCUUUCCGAUUUGAAGACCAGACGCUGCUCCUCCACCGUUCAAGUGUGGUUGCUCCGUUAUUGGGAGGCUAGGAAUGUCCGACGCGGUGGGGAACUCAUGAGAGUCGAUAUGUUGCUACUUGAUUCCCGAUAAGAAUAUUCUUUUUGGACCAAGUUAAGCUCAACAUUUUGCCAUUUAAAAUCUCAAAAACAACAUGCAUUUUAUUUUGAAACGACAAGCAGUUUGUCUACAAAAUAAAAACGUCAUGAUGUUUAUCCUCUCGAGAUAUUUAAACGAGAUAAGAAAGAGAGAGAUAGCGAGUCUUGGGGAAUAAGUUCGUAAUUUGAACUUCCCGAGAUCUUUGCCAAAUCCCCACUAACGAGCACACGUUAUGCAACAGUUACGGGAAGUCGCUCCUCGUCCAUCUAUUUAAAUACAACUCGUCUCUCUUCUCAUUUCUCUAACGUUUUUACACAUCAAACCAAUAGCAAAAAUCCCUUAGCGUAAGUCUUAAAUACGAGAGUGUUUCGUAGAGUUUAUAGUUCGAUAGGGCGAUCACGAGUGAGGCGUGAUUCGUCUGCCAUGGUUGUAUCCUGGGACUCUAUAUUCGUACAGUCCCGUCUCACUAACAGAGCGAAUAUUUUGAGUUAAGGAAAGAGAUCAUAUCUCGACUCCAUGUCUCUUUGCGAAUACGAUUUCUUAUCGUUCUUGUAUUCGCCCUUUACAUUCGUCUAUUUUCUUAACAUCGCUUUUUAUUUUAUCGUUUAUGUCAAUCCGGUUUUCUGGCUUCAACAAUCUUAACUCAAAAUCGCUUUAUGUCUAAAGCUCAAAUCGGGUUGAAGAACGAUUAUAAAAACGGGUUUUGGAACCGUGUUUGCGAUUUGCUUUCUAGCACUUCCGCGAAACGUUUAUUCUUAUUUCAUAACGGGGUUUGCGAUUUGCUUUCUAGCACUUCCGCGAAACGUUUGUUCUUAUUUCAUAACGUGUUUGCGAUUUGCUUUUUAGCACUUCCGCGAAACGUUUAUUGUUUAUUUCAUUACGCUUUGCGGAUUGCUUUGUAGCAUUUUUCGCAAAACGUUUUUGAUAAUGGUUUCUAAGUGAGUUUGUGAAACAUUCUAAGUCUAUAAAAAUGGUUUCUGCGAACGCUUCUAAGCGAGCUUGCAAAACGUUUUCUCAAGACUUAUAUCGAUAUAAUUUGGUUCAAACACCAAAAAUGAACAUCGAUUUUAGACUCUUAUUUUCCUUAAAAUAAUAUAUUAUUUGUUGAAUGGAGUACUAAUCCGUUUUUUCAUGUUUUCUCUACAAAAAAAUGACAAACGAUAACAACACCCCCAUUGACACCACAUAUGUCAUUCAGACUCCACUCAACGCUGCAGCAACUGAUGCAACUGGCGUGACAACCGCUGCAGCAACAACGAGCACUAUCCUCCCUGUGGGAAAUUCUGCUGAUGAAACCACUCGCCGUAGCCUAUUCGGUGCUGGUCUUUAUCAGACGGGUUCAGUAUCAGCAACUGCAAGUGGUCCGGUGGCAGUUCAAACUCCUCCGGCUGUACCUAGCUUGUUCACUCAAGGGCUGAUGCCAGACAAGUUUGAUGGCAAAGGCUUCAAAACGUGGCAGAAGAAGAUGAUGUUCUUCCUGACAACGAUGAAACUGGACAGGUUCAUCCAGGAGGACAAGCCCCUGAUUCCGUACGGGAUUGAUGAUGUUCACAGUCUUGCAACUGUUGACAUAUGGGUGCAUUCCGACUUCAUCUGCAAAGGUUACAUUUUGGGUCGUCUCAUUGACCCAUUGUACCGUCUCUACUGUGAGAUCCCCACGGCGAAAGAGCUAUGGAGAUCACUGGACAAGAAGUACAGAGGUGAGGACGCUGGCUGCCAGAAGUAUGUGGUCUCAAAGUUCCACGACUUCAAAAUGGUGGAUUCAAAACCCAUCAUGGAUCAGGUGGAAGCGCUUCAGCUCAUUUGCCAUGAAAUCGCUGCUGAAGGAAUGUCCAUCUGUGAGACAUUCACAACUCUCAGCUUCAUUGAAAAGCUUCCUCCAAGCUAUGCGGAUUUCAAGAACUACUUGAAGCACAAGAAGAAGAAGAUGGGUCUCGAGGAGCUCAUCAUGAGGCUUCAGAUGGAAUCCAGAAACCGAAUUGCUGACAAGGUCACUCCUAAGGAGCACAGUGUGAACAUGGCUGAGCACAAAGGCAAAGGAAAGGCACACGCUCAUUCUCCUGCCAAGCCUUCCAAAACUGCUGCAGCCCUGAAGGCUUCUGGAAAAAAAUUCAAGAACAAAGGCAUUGAAAUCAAUGCAAAUGCGAAUGUGGAGAAGUUCAGGGGGAAAUGUCACUACUGCCACAAAGUGGGGGUACAAGACUGUUGAGUGUCGCAAAAAGAUCAAGAAUGAGAAGGCUCAGGCAAAUCUCAUAGAGGAGGAUCUCGUUGCUGUGGUGACUGAAGCCAACAUGUUUGAAAGCAACAACCCCAAGGAAUGGUGGUAUGACACUGGUGCAACCACCCACAUUUGCACCGAUAGGGCGAUGUUCAGCACCUAUCAGAAAAGCAUGACUGAGGAGAAGCUCAAGAUGGGAAACACUGCAGUCUCCAAGAUUGAAGGACGCGGCAAUGUGAUUUUGAAGAUGACAUCUGGACAUGAGGUCACACCUGGUCUCGGGAACCUUGCUCAGCAAGAAUGGAUUCACCACAAAUUUUGACGCGGACAAGCUCGUGAUUAGGAAAAAUGGGAUGUAUUUGGGAAGAGGGUAUGUUAAGGAUGGACUUGUCAAGUUGAAUGUAAUGACAGUCCCUCCGAAAGUUGUAGCUUCAAAAGUUUCAAUGAACAAGAAAGAGUCAGUUGCUUAUUUGGUUGAGUCUUUUAAUAUAUGGCAUGAAAGAUUUGGCCAUGUAAACUACAAAUCUAUACAAAGAUUAAUGAAUUUAAAUCUAAUUCUUAAAUGCAUAACAAGUAAACAAAAAUGUGAAGUAUGCGUACAGGCUAAGGUCACGAAAACGCCAUCACCUCGUGUUGAAAGAACUAAUAAACCUCUAGAUUUAAUUCACACAGAUUUAUGUGAUUUAAAAUACUUACAAACUAGAGGUAGUAAAAAGUACUUUGUGACCUUCAUAGAUGACUGCACAAAAUAUUGUUAUAUAUAUUUAUUACAUAGCAAAGACGAAACCUUAGAAUAAUUUAAAGAAUUUAAACUCGAGGUCGAAAAUCAGCUUAAAACAACUAUUAAAGUAGUAAGAAGCGACAGAGGAGGCGAGUUUGAUGGUCCAUUCAAUGCAUUCUGUAAAGAACAUGGAAUAAUCCAUCAAACUACAGCUCCUUACUCACGAGAAUCUAAUGGAGUUGCUGAACGCAAAAAUCGAACUCUAAAAGAGAUGAUGAAUGCAAUGUUGCAGGAAUCUGGGUUACCCCAGAACAUGUGGGGGGAAGCAUUGCUUACCACUAAUUAUAUCCUCAACAAAAUUUCACACAAAGUAACUAUCAAAACUCCAUAUGAAUUAUGGAAAUGUAAUUUACCUUCGUAUAAAUACCUCAAAGUGUGGGGGUGCCUAGCAAAAGUUGCAGUACCGCCACCAAAGAAGGUCACUAUUAGACCUAAAACAGUGGAUUGCAUCUUCAUCGGAUAUGCACAUAACACUAAUGCUUAUUGAUUUCUGGUACAUAAAUCUGAAAUAUCAGACAUUCAUGAAAAUACAGUCAUGGAAUCAAGAAAUGCAUAUUUCUUCGAAAAUAUUUUUCCAUAUAAGGAAAAACAAGGUUCAAAACGAACUCGAGAAGAAAGAGACAAUGACAAAAACUCAGAAACUGAGACAAACGUCGAGAUUUCUAUAAAUGAUAUUUCAGAAAAUGAAGAAAAAGAUGAACCUCGAAGGAGCAAAAGAGCUCGAAAAGAAAAAUCUUUUGGAGAAGAUUUCCUAAUGGCAUUUUUAGUAGAAAAUGUUCCAAAAACUUUGGCAGAAGCCAUGGCUUCACCAGAAGCUCCAUUCUGGAUCGAAUCGGUCAUGAGUGAAUUUGAUUCGAUCAUGCAAAAUUAUACUUAUUACAUAAUGGAUUUACCACCUGGCUGCAAAGCAUUAGGGAAUAAAUGGAUAAUGACAUGAAAACCUGGUGGAAAAUACAAGUCUAGGCUUGUAGUUCAAGGAUUCCGACAAAAGGAAGGCCUUGACUAUUUUGAUACAUAUUCUCCAGUGACGAGAAUAACAUCAAUAAGACUGAUGAUAGCAAUCGUAGCCUUAAGAGACCUAGAAAUCCAUCAAAUGGAUGUAAAAACUGCUUUUCUAAAUGGUGAUUUAGAAGAGGAAAUUUACAUGAAACAGCCUUAAGGUUUUGUCAUUCCCGGACAGGAAGACAAAGUAUGUCGACUUGUAAAGUCACUUUAUGGGCUUAAACAAGCUCCUAAACAAUGGCACGAAAAAUUUGACAAUACAAUGAUGUCAAAUGGUUUCAAAAUAAAUGAAUGUGACAAAUGCAUAUACUACAAAACUACCAAAAAUGCGUAUGUUUUGCUAUGUCUAUAUGUAGAUGAUAUGCUCAUUAUUGGAAGCAAUAAAUACAUUAUCAAUCAAACAAAGAACAUGCUCAAAGGGACAUUUGGGAUGAAAGACUUGGGAUUAGUAGAUGUAAUUCUCGGGGUUAAAGUCACAAGAAAUUCAAACAGAGUUAUCUUAACCCAAUCUCAUUAUGCUGAAACAAUAUUAGAGAGAUUUAAAAAUUACUCUAAGAGUACGGCAAAAACUCCGUUAGAUCCCCAAAUGCACUUGACAAAGAAUUCAGGUGAAGCGGUUUCACAAAACGAGUAUGCACGUGUGAUUGGAAGUCUCAUGUACUUGACCAAUUGUACUAGACCAGAUCUAGCGCAUGCAGUAAACGUACUUAGUCGAUACACAAGUAAUCCAGGUCAUACACACUGGAAAGCUAUAACGAGGGUACUCAAUUACUUGCGCUACACCAAAGAUUUUGGUCUUCACUAUGGUAAAGAACCAGCAGUUUUAGAAGGAUACAGUGAUGCUAACUUGAUAUCAGAUUCCAAAAACUCAAAAUCCACGAGUGGAUAUGUCUUUACACUAGGAGGAGCAGCAAUAUCAUGGAAAUCUACCAAACAAACAGUGUUAGCCAGAUCUACCAUGGAAUCUGAGUUCAUAGCCUUAGACAAAGCAGCAGAAGAAGCUGAAUGGCUUAGAAUUUUUUUGGAAGAUAUUCCUAUGUGGGAGAAACCUGUGCCAGCCAUACGCAUACAUUGUGAUAGUCAAUUAGCAAUAGCUCGGGCUCAGAAUAAUCCCUACAAUGGUAAAUCUCGUCACAUCAGAAGACGACAUAAAACCAUUAGACAACUUAUCUCAACUGGUGUAAUCACAAUAGACUACAUCAAAUCGGCUGACAACCUAGCGGAUCAAUUUACUAAAGGUUUGCCACGAGAUGUUGUUGCUAAAUCAUCAAAAGGAAUGGGUUUAAAGCCUAUAACGAAUGAGGAUGCUUGAUUGCAACCCUACCUAUCAUGACUGGAGAUCCCAAGACGUAGGUUCAAAGGGAAAACAAAAUCAAGCAGAAUCUAAUCAAAGCACUUGAGACAAAGUAGUCUCUUCCCAGCUCCUAAGAUGAGAAAAGUGCUAACAAAUGUGUAAAGGAUAAGCAUAAGCUUUUAAUAAUUCCAUAGCUUCUAAGCGGAGUAUUACUCAAUACUUUUCAUGGUCAAUCACCUAAUGAGUGUGAAAUUGGGCCGUUUCUAGGAGAAUGAAUGCAAGGCUAUAUUCUCUAAGUUCACUCAUGAAAACCAGGAAUAGUUCAGGGCCACAAUGAACACAAUAGAGAACUAAGUUCUACGAGAAAAUGAAACUGCGUUAAGCAUGUUGUCUCGGUCUACAUAAAACACCGGUUGGUUCAAGACAUCAUGUUCACCUUCUGGUAAAGUAAACCCGACAGAUAUUAACUAUGAGUGGUUCAAGGCUUAAAAACGCCACCAACUCAAACACAGUGAAUUUUUCGCAAACACUCUCGAUAAGUCUGUCUAGUCUAGUCAUGAUUAGAAUAAGUAUAGUUUUUUUUUUAGAGUCUACAUUUAGUCUGCAUAUGUUUAGAGUCAUUUCUAUUCAUGUGGGGGAUUGUUGAACCUAAAUUACUAAAGCCCAAUUGGCUAAAAUAAUAAAAGGUAAGUGUGAAGAGAAAAUGAAACAUCCCACAUUGGUGGGAACAAGAGAAAAUGAGCUGUUUAUAUAUGGUCACUCACUACAAGAAAACAGGGGGAUUCUGAUGGCGGAAAUCGUCGGAAAUUCGUCGGAAUAGACCGAUUCCGACAAAUUUCCGACGAACCCGUCCGUCGGUAUCGUUUCGUCGGAAAAAAAAAAUUCAUUGGAAUUUCGUCAGAACUUCCGACGACUUUCUGACGAAUACCGAGAAACGUCAUUCUGACGAACUUCCGACGAUAUUACGACGCGGAUACACGAGACCAGAGUUCAUCGAAAAAACUACGUACCGACGGAGAACGUUUCUCGGACAAUUCCGACGUAGAGUGUUCCUCGGUGUAUUCCGACGAACUUUAGGCGUCGGAAUUUACCGACGGACAACGGUCGUCGGAAUAUACCGACGAACCUCGUUCGUCGGUAUAUUCCGACGGAAAUGGGGUUCGUCGGUAAAUUCCGACGGAUAUAUGUCCGUCGGUAUAUUCCGACGACCACUGUCCGUCGGUAUAUACCCAUUUUUAAAAAAAAAUUAAUUUUGCAUUUUUAUAUAUUUUUCGAUAUUAAUAAAUUUAUAAAAUCAGAAAUUUAAAACUAAUAGUAUUAUAAAAUUUAAAUUCAUAAAAACCGAAAUAGGAAAAAAACAUUCAUAAAGUUUAAAAUUCAUACAAACCGAAAUAGAAAAAAAAAACAUUCCGAAAGUUUUAAAAAGCCGAAAUAAACUAAGAUGAACUCGAAGACAUCAAACGAUCUAGCUUUUGCAUAAUCUCGGUGUUGAACUUCUUCUGGGAUGCCAACUCAGCAAGGAUAGUGGCAUUCUCCGAAUGGAUAGUGGCAUUCUCCGAAAGGAUAGUGGUGUUCUGCUCCUCCAAUGCCCCAAUCCGUUCAUCUUUGUCAUGUAGCUCCUCGAGAAUCAUGGGAUCGCCAUACGGAGCUUGCGAAGAAGAUGCCGGAUACGAAGAAGCACGACGGGCCAACCCAACUAAACGGCCUCCUUUCCUUUUAGGAACCGCCUACAAAAAUAUUUAAAGUAAGUAAAUAGGGACAAGUAAGUAAUCGACAUUAUAAAAAAAAUAUAUUAAUAAAAAAAAUUACCUUUUCAACCAUCUCAUUUAUUUGCAAUAGAGACAGGUUGGUUGAAGCUCCCGUGGAUUCGCCGUCAUCAGAGAGAGACUGAGAUUGGGCAACUAUUUCAGCUUCCACCAAAUCAACUACACCUUUGAUCACGGGGUCCUGAAUUUGACCCGUCGUCUUGUUAGUGUGAGCCACCUUAAUGAGUUGGAGACGAUCAACGGGAUUACCGUCAUUUGCUUCGAUCUAAAAAAACCGCCAUUAUUAGCCAAGAAAUAUAUAAAAUAUUUAUUUAAAAAAUAUAAAGAUAAAUAAUAAUAAAAAACUUACAAGUUCAUCCUCCUUAGUAGACAUAGAGCAAGCGCCGAGGUUGUGCACAUACAUACCUUUCCCGCCACGAUCACUCUUCCGGUUCCUGGAGUUCCUAGAAGACGUCUCUGCAGUUUCUUCCUUCUCCCAAUGACCUAUCAACUGCUCCCACACCGUCCCGUUGAUGAACCGUGGCUUCUUGUUCUUCUGCCAAACUGUCUUCCACGCGUUUAUCUGCUUUGUGUAAGAGUCCAUGGCCUUCUCGUUGAAUUUCUUACGGACUGUUUCCGUAAGAUCGGAGUGCCAGUUGAACUCUUGCUACAAAACAAACACAAUUUAAUAAGUAAAUAUAUUUAAAAAAAUGUAAAAACUUUAAAAAAAAUGAAGAGUUACUAUACCGCAAACUGACGAAACCACAACUCUCGUUCGUCGUUAGGGAUCACACAGAAAGAAGGAGGAGGGUUAUUAUAUCAGACGAUUCCGACGGACACGGGUUCGUUGGUAUUCCGUCGGUAUAAUUAAAAUAUACCAAAUGCCAAUUCGCGAAAAUUUUCAAGCGGUUUGGUUCUCCCGGGCAAAUUUAAAUUCCGACGGAAUUCCGACGACUUAGUGUUUAGGGUGUUGAUUUCAAGUUUCUAAAUGCAAAAUCCAAAUCUUUGAUAAUAUAUAUAGUAUUUGCAUAAAGAUUUAACAAUAAAAAUGUUUUAUAACACGAUUUUACACAAUAACAUUUUUUGUAGUGUAAGCUUAUAUAAAUAUGAUUGUAUAAGUAUAUAAUGUUAAGAUGAGAUGUUAUGAAAACAAUGAUAUGCAUACAUAAAUAUUUUAAUGAGUUGUUAUAUUAGAACGGUUGCGAUCUAAUACUAUACUAAACACUUAUUAUGUGUUAUUUUCAUAGUUUUGGCAUCUAAAUUUAUAGAUUUUUAUGAUUGAAACUUUAUAGAAACAUAUGUCGUCGGUAUUUUCCGACGAAAUACCGACGACCUUUCCAAUUUUCAAUGAAACCCAUUGUCGUCGCUAUGUCGUCAGUAUAUUGCGAGGGAAAAAAAAAAAAAAAAAAAAAAAAAAAAAAAAAAAAAAAAAAAAAAAAAAAAAAAAAAAAAAAAAAAAAAAAAAAAAAAAAAAAAAAAACUAAUCAGAAUCUUCUGAAUCUUCAUCAAACUCCCCAACCUCGGCUUCCGGCUCUGAAUGUACGACAGCAUCAUGACCAAACACAGUCAAAUUCUCAACGAGUUGAACAUUUUCCAAAUCUUCAACUGCCUGGGCGUUGCUGGUAGACUCUGGUUGCAAUGGUUCAUCAUCAUCAGAAGUUCCAUCCACUCGUCCUCUUGGGUUGAUUUGCGUUACACUAACCCAUGGAUCGUCUCUGUACGUCACCCGAGGGUAACUGAUGUAGCACACCUAUACAUAUCAAUUAUACAAGUAUUAGUAAAAUAUAUAACAUUAAUUAAUUAUAUUGGUAAAAAAUUGUGAAUAGAUUGACAUACCUGAUCAGCUUGCGAACCAAGAAUGAAGGGAUCAUAAUAUUGAAGUUUCCGCCGCGAAUGAACUGAUGUAACACCAAACGCAUCAAUCUUCACUCCUCUAUCUGGGGCGGUGUCAUACCAAUCACAAUAGAAUACUACACAACGCAAUCCAACCAUUCCAGGAAAUUGGAUUUCCAAUAUUUCUUUUAUGUUGCCGUAGUAGACAUCGUCACCAGAAGAAGAUGAAACACCAGCAUCAUAUGUUGUCUUAGAAUGACCUUUCCUUGUGAAUGCAUAUCCUCGCGUACAAAAUUUAGGAUAUGAUUUGACCACAUAGUUUGGUCCCUGCACAAAUUCGCGUAUCCAAUCAUCGAACACAAGACCUCUGGCCAAACCAUCAUUCACCUAUAAAUUAAAAACAUAUAUGAUUGAAAAGUUAAUUAGUUUAUAUAUAUUAAAUUUACACUAAUCAUUUGCAUAGGGUAAUAUGAUAUAUAACUCACAUAACUACGAAGCCACGCAGAAAAUCCGUUAUCUCUAAGUUGUCGAAGCUCAUCUUCUGUUGCAUGCCUGUGAGUCAUACGCAACUCCGCCAUAUAUACACUAUAUACAAAAAUAUUAUCAAUAUGAAAUAAAUUUAUUGAAUAUUAAUCUAACAAUAAAUGAAUAAAUAUUUUUACCUCUCAUAUUGUAGAACAUCUUCACAGUUGGUGAGCAAAAAUGUUUGCAAAUGAGCGUGCUCAGUGUCCGUAAGUCUCCGCUUCGUGAAUUUUCCACUAAGUCGUCCUAUUUCUUUGAACAUGCUUGGGACAGUAACAUGAUAUGUUGCUCUCUCCCCUCUAUCAUCAUGCCGAGCAGGUCUUCGGUGUUUUGUAUGCACUUCUGGUGGAAAAUAAUUUUCAGCAAAGAUUGCAGUUUCUUCAUUGAUCACCUGUGCCACUAUAGAUCCUUCCACCCUGCUUUGAUUUUUGACCAUCUUCUUCAGAUGAUGCAUAUAACGCUCAAAAAUAUACAUCCAUCUGUACUGCACAGGACCACCAAGUUCCAAUUCUCUUGCGAGAUGAAUAGCAAGAUGUUCCAUUACAUCAAAGAAUGAUGGAGGAAAUAUCUCCUCAAGGUUGCACAUGCUGACUGGUGCGUUUGUCUUCAAAUUAUUAAUACCCUCUUCAGUCACUACUCUGCUGCAUAAGUCGCGGAAGAAAACACUAAUCCCUACAUAGAUAAAAGACAUAAUUUUCGUAAGUAUUAAGUUUUUAUAAGCAUAAUUGUUAAAUAUAAAAAUAAAUUAAAUUGUAAAAAUAUAAUAUACCUGCAAUUGCUUCAUGAACAUUACGUGGCAAUAAUGCUGAAAAAGCAAACGGAAGGAGGCGCUGCAUAAUUACAUGACAAUCAUGACUCUUCAAACCAGUAAACUUUCCUUCGCUUCUAUCAACGCAGUUCCCCAAAUUUGAUGCAUAUCCGUCAGGAAAUUUCACUUUAUCUGUAAUCCAAUCAAAGAACUCUUCUUUUCUAGCACCAUCCAGCCGAUAAAUGGGAAAAGGGGCCGUACCGUUCUCAUCAACAUGAAGUUCAGAACGAUCACAAAUAUCGACUAAAUCCAACCUUGACUUCAAAUUAUCCUUCGUUUUACCUUGGAUGUUAAGGACUGUGUUCAUCAGAUUAUCGAAGAAGUUCUUCUCAAUAUGCAUGACAUCUAAAUUAUGCCGCAAUAGAUGACUCUCCCAAUAUGGCAGAUCCCAGAAAAUACUCUUUUUGUGCCAGUUAUGUAGCUCUCCAACCGCAUUGACUCGAAUGUUUUCAUGUCCACCUACAUCUGGCGUCCUUUCUGCAUCAAAAUACCUAAACUGCUUCAACAAAUCUUUCCCACUAACUUCCUCAGGUGGACCAUCAAACACCUGCUUGUUCUUCGUAAACGAAGUCUUACUCUUGCGGUAUGGAUGAUCAGGUGGUAGAAAUCGUCUGUGACAGUCAAACCAACACGUUUUCCUUCCGUUCUUUAGUUGGAAAGCAUCUGUGUCAUCUUGACAAUAUGGACAUGAUAGCUUCCCAUGUGUUGUCCAUCCAGAUAACAUACCAUAUGCUGGAAAGUCACUUAUUGUCCACAUAAGUACUGCCCGCAUCUGAAAGUUUUCUUUGCGCGAAACAUCGUAUGUCUCAAAACCAUGCGCCCAUAGUUGUUGCAACUCGUAUAUUAGUGGUUGAAGAAACACAUCUAGUGAUCUUUUAGGAUGAUCUGGCCCGGGGACGAGAAUUGAGAGAAACAAAAACUCUCGUCGCAUGCACAAGCUCGGCCGUAAGUUGUACGGUGUCACAAUAACUGGCCAUAGAGAAUACUGCCUUCCAUGCUUUCCAAAUGGGCUGAAACCAUCAGUAGAUAAUCCAAGAUAAACAUUUCUUCUCUCUUCCGCGAAUUCUGGAUAUGUUGACUGGAAAUGUUUCCAAGCCUUUGCAUCUGAAGGAUGUCUAAUCUCACCAUUUGUGGAAUGCUCUGCAUGCCAUCUCAUUGCUUUUGUUGUGCGCUCACACUGAUACAACCUCUUCAAUCUUUCCAUCAAAGGCAAAUACCACAUUCUUUUGAAUGGGAUCGGAACUCUUCCCCUCGUCUCCUGAUAACGAGGUUUCCCACAAAAUUUGCAUACAUUUCGUGUCUCAUCCGCUCUCCAGUAGAUCAUGCAGUUGUCAAUACAUACAUCUAUCACUUCAUACGGUAGUUGAAGACCUGCAACAAGUUUCUGAACCUCGUAGUAUGAACCCGGUGCAAGGUUAUCCUCAGGUAGACUACCUUUGACAAAAUCAGUAAUCACAUCCAUACAUUCUUCAGCCAAAUUAUAGUCUGUCUUAAUACCCAUUAAUCUAGUUGCAGAUGAUAAGACUGAAUGACCAUCUCUACAAUUUUGAUACAAAGGUUGUUUUCCUGCAUCCAACAUGUCAAAAAAUCUCCUAGAUUCGGGGUUUGGUUCUUCCCCUCUAUAAUGAUCAUGUACCAUCUGCUCAGUACCUACACCAUAAUCUAUAUCCGUUCUAGAUUCUUCUAACCUAAUAUCAGGCUGAGGUUCACUAACAGGCUGAGGUUCGCUAGUACUACCAUAUUCAUAACCAGUUUCCCCAUGAAGGUACCAAACUUUAUAAUUACGUGAAAACCCUUUCAUAUACAAAUGAGUCCAAACAUCAAAUUCUUUUAUAACCUUAUUAUUAUUGCAAGAAGAGCAGGGACAUCUUAACAUACCACUUUUUGCAUCCGGUUGCUGUUGAACAAGCCUCAUGAAUUCUCCAAUCCCUUGAACGUAUUCUUCCGUAAGCAAAUUGGUGUUCGGAUCCAAAUGAGGUUUAUCCAUCCACGAACGAUAAUAAACUUCUGAAGACAUGAUUUUCACGGAAUUGUUAUGACUAAAGAGAAUGAAGAGAGAAUGAAGUGUGAAUGAGUUGAAUGAGGAGGGGUUGUAUUUAUAGGAAAUUGCUUACGGACCUCCGACGACUUUCCGACGGAAUUCCGACGGAUGUAAAGCAGUCCGUCGGAAUUCCGUCGGUAUUGUCCAAUCUCAAAGGGCUAUACAACGGUCAUAUAUAUUUGUCGGCAACGGUCACAUGGUUCGUCGGAAUUUCGUCGGUAUUUUCCGACGAACUUCCGACGACUUUGCUGUUAAUCAGAAUGUCGUUGGAAAUUCGUCGGAAUAUACCGACGAACUUCCGACGACUACAACAGUUACAUUUUUUAUCGGAAUGUCGUCGAAAAGUCGUCGGAAAGUUCCGACUUAAUUUUUUUGGAUUUGGUCAGAAAUUUGUCAGUAUUCCGUCACAAAUGUCCGACGACCUUGGUGUCCGUCGGAACCUCCGUCGGAAUUCGGUGUGUUUUCUUGUAGUGACUUGAUAUCAUGUGUUAAACAGCUUGGAGAGAGAGGAAGGCUCCCCACGCGCGUGCGCCGCCGCCGUCCGGCCGGCUCGGCUCGGCUCGGCGUGGGCGUGGGCUUGGACUUGGGUUUGGGUCUUGGGUCUUGGGUCUUGGGUCUUGGGUCUUGGUGGAGGGCCUCCGGCCCGAUAAAAAUAUUCUUUUUGGACCAAGUUAAGCUCAACAUUUUGCCAUUUAAAAUCUCAAAACAACAUGCAUUUUAUUUUGAAACGACAAGCAGUUUGUCUACAAAAUAAAAAUGUCAUGAUGUUUAUCCUCUCGAGAUAUUUAAACGAGAUAAGAAAGAGAGAGAUAGCGAGUCUUGGGGAAUAAGUUCGUAAUUUGAACUUCCCGAGAUCUUUGCCAAAUCCCCACUAACGAGCGCACGUUAUGCAACAGUUACGGGAAGUCGCUCCUCGUCCAUCUCUUUAAAUACAACUCGUCUCUCUUCUCAUUUCUCUAACGUUUUUACACAUCAAACCAACAGCGAAAAUCCCUUAGCGUAAGUCUUAAGUACGAGAGUGUUUCGUAGAGUUUAUAGUUCGAUAGGGCGAUCACGAGUGAGGCGUGAUUCGUCUGCCAUGGUUGUAUCCUGGGACUCUAUAUUUGUACAGUCCCGUCUCACUAACGGAGCGAAUAUUUUGAGUUAAGGAAAGAGUUCAUAUCUCGACUCCAUGUCUCUUUGCGAAUACGAUUUCUUAUCAUUCUUGUAUUCGCCCUUUACAUUCGUCUAUUUCCUUAACAUCGCUUUUUAUUUUAUCGUUUAUGUCAGUCCGGUUUUCCGGCUUCAACGAGAUGGUAAGAGUGAGUAUCAGAGAAAAGAAUUAGUUAUUAUCGCUGCAGUUUGAAAUCUAACGUUUCUUCUGGAAUAUCCAAGAAAACGCCAUAGAAGAAGCAGUGCACAGAGUUUCCAGCUUGUAUAUCCUGAAAAGAUACAUAAUAUGACACUUCAAGUAAAAAAAAAGUCAAAAUUGGCUUUUGGAUACUCAUAAUCAUAUUAAUACAAUACUAUGAUCUAGUUAGCGAGACAUUAUGAGACAAGGAAUU